rnacentral:rRNA from 1 species
AGUGAACGCUGGCGGUAGGCCUAACACAUGCAAGUCGAACGGAUGAACAGUAAGUGCUUGUUGAUACGGGUGGGGAGUGGUGGGUGGGGGCGGAGUAUCUCGGAAUUUAUUUUUUAGAAGGGGCUAAAGCGGGGACACAUACGCCAUUAUCGCUUACGACCUAAGGGUGAAAGCAGGGGAUCUUAGGCCAUCGCGUGAUCGUAUGUGCGGAUGUCGGAUUAGUUAGUUGGUGGGGUAAAGGCCCACCAAGGCGACGAUCCGUAGCUGGUCUGAGAGGAUGAUCAGCCACACUGGAACUGAGACACGGUCCAGACUCCUACGGGAGGCAGCAGUGGGGAAUAUUGGACAAUGGGCGCAAGCCUGAUCCAGCCAUGCCGCGUGUGUGAAGAAGGCCUUCGGAUUGUAAAGCCCUUUUAGUUGGGAAGAAGAGCAGCAAGUUAAUACCCCGCUGUUCUGACGGUACCCAAAGAAUAAGCACCGGCUAACUUCGUG